CGAGCGGCGGACGGGUGAGUAAUGCCUAGGAAAUUGCCCUGAUGUGGGGGAUAACCAUUGGAAACGAUGGCUAAUACCGCAUAAUGCCUACGGGCCAAAGAGGGGGACCUUCGGGCCUCUCGCGUCAGGAUAUGCCUAGGUGGGAUUAGCUAGUUGGUGAGGUAAGGGCUCACCAAGGCGACGAUCCCUAGCUGGUCUGAGAGGAUGAUCAGCCACACUGGAACUGAGACACGGUCCAGACUCCUACGGGAGGCAGCAGUGGGGAAUAUUGCACAAUGGGCGCAAGCCUGAUGCAGCCAUGCCGCGUGUGUGAAGAAGGCCUUCGGGUUGUAAAGCACUUUCAGUCGUGAGGAAGGUAGUGUAGUUAAUAGCUGCAUUAUUUGACGUUAGCGACAGAAGAAGCACCGGCUAACUCCGUGCCAGCAGCCGCGGUAAUACGGAGGGUGCGAGCGUUAAUCGGAAUUACUGGGCGUAAAGCGCAUGCAGGUGGUUUGUUAAGUCAGAUGUGAAAGCCCGGGGCUCAACCUCGGAAUUGCAUUUGAAACUGGCAGACUAGAGUACUGUAGAGGGGGGUAGAAUUUCAGGUGUAGCGGUGAAAUGCGUAGAGAUCUGAAGGAAUACCGGUGGCGAAGGCGGCCCCCUGGACAGAUACUGACACUCAGAUGCGAAAGCGUGGGGAGCAAACAGGAUUAGAUACCCUGGUAGUCCACGCCGUAAACGAUGUCUACUUGGAGGUUGUGGCCUUGAGCCGUGGCUUUCGGAGCUAACGCGUUAAGUAGACCGCCUGGGGAGUACGGUCGCAAGAUUAAAACUCAAAUGAAUUGACGGGGGCCCGCACAAGCGGUGGAGCAUGUGGUUUAAUUCGAUGCAACGCGAAGAACCUUACCUACUCUUGACAUCCAGAGAACUUUCCAGAGAUGGAUUGGUGCCUUCGGGAACUCUGAGACAGGUGCUGCAUGGCUGUCGUCAGCUCGUGUUGUGAAAUGUUGGGUUAAGUCCCGCAACGAGCGCAACCCUUAUCCUUGUUUGCCAGCGAGUAAUGUCGGGAACUCCAGGGAGACUGCCGGUGAU
rnacentral:rRNA from 1 species